UCAGGAGGUUCGCCGACCAGUGCGAUGUGAUAACCGGUCGGACCGGCACGUACACACGCGGUCGCGCUCGUCCACAUCGAUUGGGUGUCAUUGAAAAGGCAUAAAUAAUCAUGAUCCUGUUUAUUUGCCUCGUGUGCUCUGCCCCAAAAAACCCCGACCUUUUGUGUGUGUGUGUGGGGAGUAAACAACGUGCAAUAGAUUCAUCAUUCUAUUGACAGUGCAAAAACCGAACACACGACGACCUCGGCUUCAACCUGUUGUGUGACAUCACUCUCUAUAUAAACCCUAACCUGCCGGCAGAGUCUGAACCAUUCUGUUUUUGGAGGCCGGAAGCAUCAUCCAGCGUCCAUGCUUUUGGUACUCCGGACAGGCAAAAUAUUGCACAUUUUGCGGACAGCGAGCGCUGGUAGUCCGGUAUCAUCAAUCCGACGGUACGGUUCUCGUUGGUAAACUGUUGCCGUUGGGUUGAUUUUAACGAGCCAUAGACCGCUGUACUGCAGGAAGGCUUUUUCGGUGGUUUGGUCACGUUGUCAAAUUCGCAUGACAGUGGAACCGAUUGCAGAAACGGUGGACGACUAUUGUGUGUUGCGAGCUGCACGGCACGGCUAUCCAGUAGGUAACACCCCGGAUUCCACUCAUACGUCACACGGGCAAACACAAUACUAUGGUCCUCGCUGGUCCGGUUCCAAUACAGAUCUUGCGGCUAUAGUAACAGGCUGUUGUAAUUGCAGUACGAAGGCGAUGUUGCCCGGUUCGGUUAACUACAUCACUUCUGAUAGAAGAGACUUAAACGCCGAACGGCUGUGAGGGUGUGAGGUUCUGAUGCUCUUUUUUACUUUUAGCAGCUCGGUCUUGUACCGGUGCGCCACGCCAGUUGACACGAGAUAGAACCGUUCGGUGAAUAGAGGAUCGAAACCAUCACCAUGGGCACCAUGCACCAGGUACCUUCGGUAGGGUUAAGCCGCAUCAUCGGCUCGCUACGCUUUGCGGUCGUCAAACACCAACAAGAUAUCCACAUUGGCUGGUUUGUCGGUUGAAUCUGUGGCACCGUGUGUCCUACGGGUGGGAUGGGUGUCUGUUGCAUGCACAUCAUGCCUUUAAAUCGAACAACGAAUUAGCUUGAUAGCAUACGCUUUAAUGGCGUUUCAAGGCUGGCUUGAUGUGUGUGUGUGUGUUUGGUUUGCGCCUGUUACGAUUAUUUGUUACCCACCUGUUGCGACACUUGCUGGUGCUGUUUGGCAAACCUGCGGGUUGACGAGAGCGCAAACAGAGCGUGUAUAUUUGCCGGUCGCUGUCCCUGAGCGUGUCACGACGGGCCUACCAACCUUUCUGAUGGGAAUGUAAUUUUAAUAGUUUUUUAAGCA